GACGAACGCUGGCGGCGUGCUUAACACAUGCAAGUCGAACGGAAAGGCCCUGCUUUUGUGGGGUGCUCGAGUGGCGAACGGGUGAGUAACACGUGAGUAACCUGCCCUUGACUUUGGGAUAACUUCAGGAAACUGGGGCUAAUACCGGAUAGGAGCUCCUGCUGCAUGGUGGGGGUUGGAAAGUUUCGGCGGUUGGGGAUGGACUCGCGGCUUAUCAGCUUGUUGGUGGGGUAGUGGCUUACCAAGGCUUUGACGGGUAGCCGGCCUGAGAGGGUGACCGGCCACAUUGGGACUGAGAUACUGCCCAGACUCCUACGGGAGGCAGCAGUGGGGAAUAUUGCACAAUGGGCGGAAGCCUGAUGCAGCAACGCCGCGUGCGGGAUGACGGCCUUCGGGUUGUAAACCGCUUUCGCCUGUGACGAAGCGUGAGUGACGGUAAUGGGUAAAGAAGCACCGGCUAACUACGUGCCAGCAGCCGCGGUGAUACGUAGGGUGCGAGCGUUGUCCGGAUUUAUUGGGCGUAAAGGGCUCGUAGGUGGUUGAUCGCGUCGGAAGUGUAAUCUUGGGGCUUAACCCUGAGCGUGCUUUCGAUACGGGUUGACUUGAGGAAGGUAGGGGAGAAUGGAAUUCCUGGUGGAGCGGUGGAAUGCGCAGAUAUCAGGAGGAACACCAGUGGCGAAGGCGGUUCUCUGGGCCUUUCCUGACGCUGAGGAGCGAAAGCGUGGGGAGCGAACAGGCUUAGAUACCCUGGUAGUCCACGCUGUAAACGGUGGGUACUAGGUGUGGGGUCCAUUCCACGGGUUCCGUGCCGUAGCUAACGCUUUAAGUACCCCGCCUGGGGAGUACGGCCGCAAGGCUAAAACUCAAAGGAAUUGACGGGGCCCCGCACAAGCGGCGGAGCAUGCGGAUUAAUUCGAUGCAACGCGUAGAACCUUACCUGGGUUUGACAUGGAUCGGGAGCGCUCAGAGAUGGGUGUGCCUCUUUUGGGGUCGGUUCACAGGUGGUGCAUGGCUGCCGUCAGCUCGUGUCGUGAGAUGUUGGGUUAAGUCCCGCAACGAGCGCAACCCUUGUUCACUGUUGCCAGCACGUUAUGGUGGGGACUCAGUGGAGACCGCCGGGGUCAACUCGGAGGAAGGUGGGGAUGACGUCAAGUCAUCAUGCCCCUUAUGUCCAGGGCUUCACGCAUGCUACAAUGGCUGGUACAGAGAGUGGCGAGCCUGUGAGGGUGAGCGAAUCUCGGAAAGCCGGUCUCAGUUCGGAUUGGGGUCUGCAACUCGACCUCAUGAAGUCGGAGUCGCUAGUAAUCGCAGAUCAGCAACGCUGCGGUGAAUACGUUCCCGGGGCU
rnacentral:rRNA from 1 species